AAACCGAUCUAGUGGAAUAAACAUUCGUCUGAAGUGUGCCAUCGCCAUUGUGAACGAAGCAUGGGUGACACUGACACUGCAAAUCAUCUCCUGAUACGUUGUCCGGUUUAUACAAAUCUUUAUUACUUUAAUGUCUUUUUGUAAUUCCUUGGGCAUUAACACUCUAAUCAACAAAGAAACCGCCUUUUUCACGUUACUUUUACCAAUUUUUUCAUACUCGUACAUUUAGUUGAUUAUAGAAAACAUCUUGCCAUUCAUACGAAUGCCUUUGUCUUACCUGACCUAACACGGUCAAGAACGAAUUAGCAUGUUAACACACAUGCUAAUUUGUUCUUGCAACUGGCCGAAGCCUUUUUGUCAAAUUUUGCAUAUUUCCUAAAUUUAAUAACACACAAGCAUUCUCCCAUGUGCCAGGCAACAGGUUACAGGUAUGGUAUGGUCCCCUUUUGGUGUUGAGCCUGGGCUACACCGUUGGUUAUUGAAAAUGUGUUGGAACAAAUAAUUACAUGGAGCUGGAGUGUGAAUUUGGGACUUGAUUUGUCAUCUGUUGGUUGAGGUGGAAAAACAGUGAUUGGUAUCCACUAUUUGAUUUCCACACUUAUCAUUGGAACUCUGGGAUGGUAGUUGUUGUUGCAGGACACUCUCAUUGGUUCGUUAGUGAGGUUCCAGAAUGCAGCAUUCCAUAAGCAAGAAAUAUUAUUUGCCGACCGUCAACACAAUACAGAUUUUUUAACUUUGUUUUUGUUGCCUUGAUGGUGAAAUUGAAUUAUAUUGAAAUUUAAAAGUU